rnacentral:lncRNA from 1 species
GAUCCCGAGUGUCAUCCAGAGUUGGAACAAAGACUUGGAUGCCAUGUGUCCUAGUCAGGGUGCUAUUGCUGCGAUGAAACACCAUGACUGAAGAACUCCAGUCUAUGAAAAGUGCAUCCACAGUUUGGCUACAUCUUCCCACUUCAUUUACACAGGUUGGAAACUCCCUUACAGUCAUGCCCACAGACAUCAAUGGUACCCUGCUACUCAGUGCCCAGGUCCCCCACCCUCACUCCUGGCCUGGGGACAAAAGUGCAGCGUGUCCACUGGCUCACCUUUCUCCCUGGACUGAUGGUUUUGUGUGUCAGCAAGGAGCCUCUGUUGAGGAAAUGCCUCCACGAGAUCCAGCUAACUGAAACCUCAGGCUGAGAGUUAGCUUUGACAACAAGGCAGUGAGAAAAACCAAGUCAGUAAGCAGCAUCCAGCCAAGGCCUCUGCAUCGGCUCCUGCCUCCAGGUUCCAGCUCUGCUCGAGUUCCUGUCCUGACUUCCUCCAGUGAUGGGCUAUGGUCUGGAAAUGUAAGCCAAUAAACCCUUUCCUUCCC